UGGGGAAUAUUGCACAAUGGGCGCAAGCCUGAUGCAGCCAUGCCGCGUGUGUGAAGAAGGCCUUCGGGUUGUAAAGCACUUUCAGCGGGGAGGAAGGCGGUGAGGUUAAUAACCUCACCGAUUGACGUUACCCGCAGAAGAAGCACCGGCUAACUCCGUGCCAGCAGCCGCGGUAAUACGGAGGGUGCAAGCGUUAAUCGGAAUUACUGGGCGUAAAGCGCACGCAGGCGGUCUGUCAAGUCAGAUGUGAAAUCCCCGGGCUCAACCUGGGAACUGCAUCUGAUACUGGCAAGCUUGAGUCUCGUAGAGGGGGGUAGAAUUCCAGGUGUAGCGGUGAAAUGCGUAGAGAUCUGGAGGAAUACCGGUGGCGAAGGCGGCCCCCUGGACGAAGACUGACGCUCAGGUGCGAAAGCGUGGGGAGCAAACAGG
rnacentral:rRNA from 1 species